GAAAUGCGAUAAGUAAUGUGAAUUGCAGAAUUCAGUGAAUCAUCGAAUCUUUGAACUCACAUUGCGCCCGCCAGUAUUCUGGCGGGCAUGCCUGUUCGAGCGUCAUUUCAACCAUCAAGCCCCCGGCUUGUGUUGGGGACCUGCGGCUGCCCGCAGGCCCUGAAAAACAGUGGCGGGCUCGCUGUCACACCGAGCGUAGUAGCAUACAUUCUCGCUCAGGGCGUGCUGCGGGUUCCGGCCGUUAAACGACCUUCAUAACCCAAGGUUGACCUCGGAUCAGGUAGGAAGACCCGCUGAACUUAAGC
rnacentral:misc_RNA from 1 species